rnacentral:misc_RNA from 1 species
GUUGGUUGAGUCCUAGAAUAUCAACAGCUGUGGAUAAUCCGGAAGUAAUAAUAGAUCCGGAAGUUUCCGUCAAUGAAAUGGUGGAUUUCGAGUUCCGACUUGAAGAUCCGGUGAAUAUGUUACCGGCGGAUGAGCUUUUUUCUGAUGGAAAAUUAAUGCCUCUGCAACUCCCGACGGUUCGUCCGGCGGCUGUAUCUACGUCUGCCGGUGUAAGGUCGCCGGAGACGCCGAAACUUCGUAUGAGAAAUAAUGAGAUUUCUCGUAAGGACCCGUAUCUGUUCUCUCCGAAAGCUCCAAGGUGUUCU